AGCAGACCAAGUAUGGCCUUUCUUGGAGGACUUUUGCAAUAUACAUCAGUGGUUUCCGAAUGUUGAAACUUCUUACCAAGUCCAGGGUGAGCUAGGCAAGCCUGGCCUCAUCAGAUACUGCGCUUCCAAGCCACAACCAUCCUCCGACGGCACCGGUGGGAACAUCGUCAACUGGGCUAAAGAGAAGCUCAUCAUGAUAAAU
rnacentral:misc_RNA from 1 species